AUCAGGAUGGGGAUGGUUUAACACUAGGAGAGGAGGUGGAACAGUGCAAUGCGUUUCUCUCCAGGAUUGCAGUGACCACAAAACACUAAAGCAGGGCGCACAGACAUGCUGACUCUCAUGGCCAUGCGCUGGAAUCAAGCAAAGUUUAACAAUUUGGCCACCGCACUGAGCCGCCAAUAUCAGAAGCAACAACAACAACCACUACAAAUGAUGUUGAUGCUUUGGCCAGCAGAAUUUAGGUGCUGUUGGCGAGUUUUAAGAGGCGUUCCCAGCGUCUCUAUAAAGAUACAGAUGGCAACAAAGGUCGUGCCAGGAUCCGUCGCGAGAUCAGGGAAGAGAAGGAGAUCCUGACAUCAUUUGUGGAGAAAUACAACAUAAUGGUUCCAAAAACAGAAACUCUGUGUCUGGUAAGACAGCUUGGU